GCCUGUUCAGUGCCUUUAUGAUCACUGCGAACAUCAAUCAUUGAAACCACCAUUAUACUAGUUCCACCAUCUCUUACCUGAGUCCCCUUAAGCCAAGGAUUUGUCGCCCGCGGCCAACAGCCUGCCGCUGGCACCCCCUUCCGAACCUCGUCCAAGAGCACGCACAUCCCAGAGCAGCCCCAGCCAGAGACUGACAGACAGGAGGCCGAAGUCCCAGUCAUUUGGCCGAUGUGGGCCGUCUACACUCAGCGUGGGGCUGGUUGAGGUGCUGGCAGCCUGCGUCCCAGCUAGACUUCCUCCUCUACGCCCCCCUGCUGCCUCUCCUGCCUUCCCACAGGGAUUUGUCCCUAGUAAAUGCCCUGCCCCUCACA